CUGUCCUUGUGUUUAAUAAAAGGAUACCCUGAAAAUUAAUUCUUAGAUAGGUCCCUUAAAAAUUUUCCCUUCUUUAUUAAAGUGUGCUGAUUCACUGACCAAGUUUAGAGAGAGAAUAUGUAACGAAAAAAACAAAAGAGCUUUUGCCUGCUGUAGAUACCUAGGUGUAGUUUUGCUUUAAAAUGUUCUGUAUUGUUUACAUUGUAAUCAACAUGUAACAUUACACUUUUCAAAAUCACUUGAUGGUGUUUUACUGUCUUCUUUAUGGUGUGUUUUCAUCUAGACAUUCAGAGUUCAGAAUAGUUUUGCACUUAUUUUGAGGAACUUCAUGAAAGGUGCUAUUUCUUUUGUUACGUUACAUUUUAAUAUUUUCUCUGCAGCUGAAUGUUUUGAUGAGCAAUAUAUAUUAGCUUACUGAGUGUCAAAAUGUAACUGUUUAUUCUGCUUUCACACCACUUGAGCAGUUUUUAUCUUGAACUUUUAUAAGAAUUUUUCAGGGAGUUUCCCCUCUAUGGUACCACAGUGUAUGAAAUUUACAUACUUUAUCAAAUACCUGUCUUGUGAAAAAUAUUUUAAAUGUUAUUUCUAAAAUUUGACUUAAUUCAACUUGUACUUCCUCCAAGCAGCUUUAAUAUUUUCCCCCACUCUGAAGUUGUGGAAGGUCUUGAAGUGAUUGUGAUGAAUAAAAAUGAAAACACAUCAAACUAUUUGUGACCUAUAUUUAAUAUACUUAAGAAUGUUUUAACCUUAGAUUUAUUAUGGGUAUCUUCUAUAGUUAGCCAAUUCUAAACUGUCAUUUGUAUAGAAAAUAAAGCGCUACAAUAAUUUGAUUUUGAAAAGAAACAGUAUUUGGAAUUCCUUUGUGUUGUUUCCUGUGAAUGCAUUUCCUUCUUAAUUUCUACCUAAUUCAGUCUUGGAAUAAUAGGCAGGUCACUCUACGGCCAUAACACCCUGAAUGCGUGGAUCUCAUACGAAUAGGCAGGUUACAAUGUAUGAAUUUGAUAUUAAUACACCAGCAUCCAUGAUACUUAUCAAAAAAGCAUGCAAAAAUAAAUGUAAGAAAGUCAUUUUCAUCAAAAGCCUUUGUUACUUGACAUCUAUAGUAUUUCAGAAGUCUUAUUUUUGUUGAUUGGAUAAUUAAAUAUCUAAUUACUAUGCUGCUGUUCAUGGUUCCUAGUGAUAUAUUGCAAGUAACAACAGACUCUUUUAGUAAUCUUUCCCAAAUACAAAAAUUCUGUGUUUAUUUUGUGCCUACGUGUGCUUCUAGGGAAUUAACAGCUUCCCUCUACAUUACAUCUCUGAAUCUUACUCAGUGACUCUGGCACCAUAAUCAGGUUCGACCGGUUAGUAAACAUACUGUAAAAUGAGUCUCUGGGCUUUAUCAAACUACAGUUUAUUACCAGUACCUGGCAGAAUUCUCACGCUUACAUCAGAGAGUCACUAAAUAGACAACACUCUGACUUAAGGCUGCUUUAAAACAAAAUCAAUUAUAGGUUGUACAGUUGAGAAAACGUUAAGUCAUUAAGUGACCAAGAAAGGAAAAAAUAAACAGCAACAUUUUAAAUAUCUUUCAGGGGCUGGGGAUUUAGCUCAGCGGCAUAAGCGCCUGCCUUGCAAGCAGGCAGUUGUGAGUUUGAUCCCUGGUACCGAUAAAAACGAAAAAGACAAAAAAAAAAUAUCUUUCAAAUGUAUAUGUGAAGGGCAGAGAUAUUUUCCUUUGACAUACAUACGUCUGGAUUAUAAAUAACUGAAGGAAAAACAAUCUCAUAGUUUUAUAAUUUCACACACGAAGUCACUGACACCUAUAGAUUUCAGAAAAAUUAAAUUUGCCCAUAAUUUUAGGCUAUGUUUAUAAAAUAUUUAGACAUUAGUGGUUCUCAGUAUGAAGUUUAAGAAUACAAAGAGUUUAGAUUUUUAGCGUUCUGGCUAUAGCUUUAAAAUAUUUUUUUUAUUUUUACUUUGAAAUAAUUUUAAAUUUACAGAAAUGUUGCUAGAAAGAGCUAUAAGACAGCUUAAGUUUCACAGCUUUUAAGUUUUCCCCAUUUGCUGUGGCAUUCAUUCUUUGUAGUAUUUUGAGAACCAUUUCAAACUAAGUGUGCAUUUUCUAGGAACAAGAACCUGUCCUUUAUUGCCAGUGAUCAAAAUCAGAAAGCUGGCAUCAAUCUGCACCUUGAUUUGGAAGAUCUUACUCCAGGCUUAGUGUGAGGCUGGCACGCACCUGUGUGUUCUGGACCAUUAUCUAAUCUGGCUUUAGGGGUUAACAUUUUCUUGUCGUCUCUUUUAUUCUAGAGAAAUUUCUUGAUUUGUUCUUCAUCUUCCUGAACUUUUGACACUUUGAACAAUAAAACGUGUUUUGUAAAAAGCCCCUUGGUUUGGGUUGGUUUGAUGUUUUCUCUUGAUUAAUUUAUGUACCUUUGGGUAGAAAUACUGAUUUGUUCUGUUUUCCUAUAGUAUUAAUUUUGAUGUUUUAGGGUUUUUUUGUUUUUUGUUUUUUUGGUUUGGCUGCAAAGUGAUGCCUAGGUAUUUUAGUAAUAGGUCUUGUAUUCCACCUCAUAGGAGUUUCUCUGUGAAUGAGGUAUUGGAAUUUUUUACUAAAUUAAUGUGCCUGUACUCUGAUACAUGCAGGUUGAUGUGUUUUUUUGUGUUAAAAAAAGUACCAAAUUCUUUAUUUCCAGGCAUACUAUUAACCUUUGUAUUGACUUUUAUGCCACUCAACUAUGCUCUGUAAAAUUCUGUGAUUAAUUAAUGUACUUCUGUUUUACUUAGAAAUUGUUAAAAUGACAUUACUUUAUAGUUUUAGUAUUUAUUCUGCCUUGCUAAAAUUGUAUGUAAUGCAAGGUUGAGAUUGCUAUAAAAACACACUUUUGUGAUAAUGCCCUAUGCUUAAUAUUAUAAAAUACAAUUUUAACAGUGUAAAAAUUUGAAAAUGUUUUUAAAUCCACUUAAUCCUCUGUGGUUAAGUGAAAGGAUAAUGAUUGUAGAAAAAACGGUUUGCAGACCAUAGCUUUUAUAAGAAUCAUUCGUUCUUCUCUUGAAGUUGCAGCAGUAGCAACCCCAGAGCAGAGGAUUUUGUGUUUUUAACAAGGUGUAGGGAGUUUAACUCUCUCACCAGCUUUUAAAAGAAGCACACCAGUGAAUACCAAGGGCAAGAAAAAUGAUAUCUUCAAUAAAUGCCAUAUUCAUUGUAUUCAGUAGAACUGAAGAGAAUCAGGUUUCCUGUGGUCAUUCCUUAUCAUUUCUUAUAAAAUGAACACCGUAGUUUUAGAUUUAAUAAAAGAAGGAAAAAUUCAGUAUUUAUGUAGUAGGAAGUAGCAAGACUUUUGUAUGUGCUUUCAAAACAUUUUAUAUCCAUACAAUAUCUGUUCAUUCACCUAUGCAUAAAGACAGGUAACAAUAGUAAAAUCCAAUCAGGUUUUGAUGUUGUGCUGCAUUGUAAUGACAUGAAAUGACAAAUUUUACAUGAGAGACUAUAUGGAAAGAUUUUUUUGUAGAGGUGUAUUGCUAGUUGAAUGGAACUGUACAGAACUUCUAAUUUUGCACGCACACACACAGUGGAAUAUAUCAAGAUCAUGAGAAACAUAUGCUUCUGCUUUUGAGAAAUUCGGAUGACAAAGUAAUUACAAUUUGCCUGGAUGAUUUUUAAUUUAAUCAUAAGUUGACUGAAAUAGGUUUGUGGCUAAAUUAAAGUGUUCAGAGGCUAGUUUUAUUGAAUUAAACUUUAAGUGAACUUUAUUAAGGUUCUUACAACACAAGUUAAUCCUAUGGGCAGAGGAAAUAGAUUUAAUUUACAUUGUGUACUCAAGAAAAAAAUGACAAGCAGUUUUCCUCUCUGAAUGAUUUUGAAUAUCAAAUAGCAAUUUUUUGCAAAGCUGGAAGCUAUGUGACAUGCAUAGCAUUUGCUUCAAAACCUGGUAUUUUUGUUUCAAUUUUCACAUCAACAUGUUUCAGAUAUUAUAAUAUAUUCUGCGUUCAUAGCAUGAAAAACAUGAGUGUUAAAAGUUCAACAUUUCAGAGUAGAGUUUUUCUGUAGUAGAUAGUAUGAAAUAAUGAUAGGUAGCAAAAGAUAGGUAUGAGCAAGCUAGUAAAAGCUUUAAAAAAAGCAUUGUUUUAUGCUGAGUGUGGUUUGCACCCCUUGUGCUUGGGAAGCUGAGGCAGGAGAAUUGCAUGAGUUCAAAGCCAUACCGAGAUACAUAGUUCAACACCAGCCUGGUAGGCAGUGCACAUGCUAAAUAUAGUCUGUCUCAAAAAAAAAAAAAACAAAAAACAAAAAACAAAUCUUAUUUUGUAAAAACGUUCAUUAUUUUACAGGUUGUAUGUUCAUAGUUAUGAAGCAUUUUUGGCCCUGGAAAAUUGCUAAUUAUCAUGCUUAUGAUGUUAUAUAUAUGUGUGUUCAUUCACAUCACAUUGGUUUUGAAAAGAUAUUUUAAAAAUACUGUGAAUUAACUUUAGAUGCACAUAUGCCUUUUAAGCAGUCAUUAAAUUUUCUUGCCUUAAAAUGGUUUUACUUGGGUAAACAUUAAAAGAAAUCAUUACCACAUAUAUUUUAAAGUUUUGUGAAAUGAAAGCUGUGUUGUUUUAGUGCUAAUUCUAAUCCUGUAGUGAAUGAAAUAGAUUAAAAUGAUAAAUACUUUGUUAGGGAUGAAGAGUGUGUAAAAUGCGAUGGCAUUGUAAUUCAGUGGUAAAAUACCAUGCUUAGCAUGUGCAAAGCCCAGAGUUUGAUUCCUGUGUCAAAAAGUGUGUGUGUGUGUGUGUGUGUAUACACAUAUCUAAACAUGUAUGUGUGUAUAUCAUACGUGUGUGUAUGUACAUUGAUUUACCUCUUGAGAAAUAGAAGGUUUAAGUUACAAAUGAUACUUUAAGAUAUUGUCACUAGAUUCUAAUAACAAGACUGUUAAAAUUUACCAGCCACAUUUAGAAGGUGAAUAUACUGGGGUUUGGAAGUGAAAUGUAUCAGAUUUGGGGAAAAGUACUCAACUUUCCUAACUCCUAAAAGUCCUCGUCUGUAAAACAAGACAGCUAGUUGCUGGAAGGGUGCAGCAAAUACAAGUACUCAAUAAAUACUGGUUUUUACUAAGGACAUUGUUGCUGUUAAUGAUUUUAUAACAACUGUUGUAAUGGGUGAAAUUUUAAAAAAUCUUACCAAAUUCACUUAUUUCUUAGGCAGAAUCUUACAGAGGAUAACUUUGGUAAAAUUUUCUUUUCCCAUACUUUUUCUACAUUUAUUAGUUUAAAAGAUUUCCUAUUUUACAGCAUUUUCCUUGAGUUAGAAGUAGAAGGCUAUAGUUUUACCUAGUAGUAGAAUAGGGGGAAAAGUUUCAUGGAAUCGGUCUCUUUUGGGAUCUAGAUGCUCACCUAGUCACGGUUGUUACAGUACUUUCAUUAAGGCAGAGGUGUGAUGAGAGCUUUCAAGUGGAGGCUGCCUUGGCUGGGCGUACAGGGAAGGCAGUGGAGGACUAGUUCACCAACAGGAGUCCUGGGCAUGGGGUGCAACUGUUGCGUAUGACAGGAAACCCUUUUAGAGAAUCCUGUGGUGUCAGCAUGGUGUUACUAAUUUGAAUGCAUGAUAUUAAUUGAAUAUAAAAUUUUAUAGGUUUCUCAGAUGAGUUCCUUAGUCAGAAUAUGAUGAAAUAAUCUUGUUCAGAACUCCUUUCUGCCAGGGUUGGAAUAAGGUAACUUUCCAAAAAAGAAACAAACUCAUGUCCAACAUCCUCAUUUAAAAAAAAAAUAGGCGGACAUUUCUUGCAUCCUAAAUGAUAUGUAAAAUAUAAAUUAAGAACUGUCUGCUGUCAUUUCUAAUCUGAAAAUCCAGAUGGAUGAAUUGCUUAGAACUGACUCAAGUCCAGUGGCCCAGACGUGGUGGUUGUGUGCAUCAAGCGUGCUGAUUUCAUUGGGAACCUUGGAGCUUCUCUAGUGUGCCAAGAAAGGGCAAAGCUCAAAUGAUAAAUGAAGCAGUGGAACAGUUUAGGGCACUGAUCAUAGUUUUAUGUUCUUUAGAUUGUUAUGCUUGCAAAGUUUAGUGGCAUUCAUUCUUUGUUUUUUCACGACACACAAUUCAUGAAUACAUUCAAAAAUGCAGUUAAUACAUAUUUUAUGAGUUUACUGUUUUGCACAUAUUGCUUCGGAGAUGAAUGUGCAUAUGAAUGUAUAUGUAUAUACUGUUUUAUAAUACAUAGUUUUCCACUUGUGGACAUUUUAUUUAUGAUUUAUAUAUAGGCAUGCACAAAUAACUAAUGAAAUAGCAGUGAUAAAAUAUCAAUGUAGCAUUGAUCUAUUCACUUAAAUUUAUUAUGUACCAGGCCAUGUAUUAUUUGAAAAUUAUAUAUGAUUUAAAAAUAACCAUAGAAUGAAGUGCAUCUAUACUGCUUCAUAAAAUGUUUUACCAAAUGAGAAGUCUUGGGUUAAGUAACAGGAACAAGUAUGUGAUUGUGUACUAUCUAUACUUUUGUAUAGAUAUAUAGAAUUUGCUAAAAAAUGUAUACACACUUUAGGAAAAGAAAAAUUGUGUUUUUCAACAGAUGAUGUUACCCUCAUAUGGGCCCCUAGCAAACGUCGUAUAUCACAGAAAACCCACUAUUGCUGGCCCUUAGAGGAGAAACUGAAAACCCAUGAGCAGGAAUCUCAGUAACCAAAGUCACCCAAGCCGCAGACGCUGUACUAAUAAAUGUCUGGAAGUGAACGGCCACCACUUGGAGCAUCUCUUGUAAUUGUGGAGGCCAAAGAGACUUGUUUCAAUCUCAUGGUGUCUCAGUAAAUUUAGUAUUGAAAUAUUUAUAUCAGUUUUUCUUUUCCUGAACUGUGUAUGCAUUUUUUCUUACAGACUCUAUAUACACAUAGAAAAGAUUCCUAAAUACGAAUUUGUAAGGUUAAUGGGAACACAUUUUAAAUUGUGGCAAAUGCUGCUGAAUUGUAUUGUAGAAAACCUGAUUACAAGGUAUAAGAAUACAUUUCUUCAUAUGCUUACACCAAGUGAUGUAAUUUUUAAAAAUUCCAACCUGUGUUUUCUUUUUUAUUAAAAUCAAACAUGCAUGGCAUGGUAACAUGUGCCUGUAAUCCCAGCACUCAGGAGGCUGAGGCAGGGGGACUGUUGCAAAUUUGUGACCAGCCUGGACCACAAAGUGAGCUCAAGGCCAGGCUGAAUUGCAUAGCAAGACCUUGUUUCAAAAAGACAAAAUAAAACCCAGACAGACAGCCUUCCCCCUUCAAACUUUAUUUUAUUGGUAUAGGGAAUUUGUACAUAAUGUAUUUUGAUUCCUCUUUUUUCCAGUCCUCUCUCCUCCGUUCAUCCCCUCUUCACUUCUCUAUUUACAAAGAUUUGUUUCCAUUUUAUUCCUUUUAUUAAAUCUCUUUAUUCCUCUUCCAUUCCUUUCCCCUUUCUCCCUUCCUAGUUCUUUUCUUUUGAAUAAUUGUUUCUUGUUUCACAAUAUCUAUUGUACAAUCUUGAUCCUUGUUUACUCUUUCAGUUUCACACACUAAGAAGAUACUGCAAUAUUUACAUGAGUUCCAUGUAUUCCACUUAAACGAGUAUGAUCUUGCAUCAAUUUAUCUAGAAAUGACUCGUUUAUCCUUCUUUAUGGCUGAGUAGUACUCCACAGUAUAAAAGCAUGUCUUUUUUUAUCCAUUCUUCGAUUGAUGAGCAUUUGGGUUGUUUCAAAGAUUUAGCUAUUACACACUGCGCUGCUAUAAACAUAGGUGCACAUAUAUCAUUGUGGUGUUCUGAAAAAGGAGCUCAACAGGGUAUCAGAAAGUGGAAAGAUAUCCCUGCUCAUUGAUAGGAAGAACCAACAUAGUGAAAAUGGCAAUACUCCCAAAAUUGUUAUACAGGUAACACACAAUUCUAAUCAAAUACCAUCAUCAUACCACACAGAACUGGAGAAAACAUUCCUAUUUAUUUGCAUAAAUAAAUGGUAUGUUAUUAAACAUUCCAUUUAUUUGGAACCGGAAGAAACCUAGAAGAGCAAAAACAAUUCUUGGCAACAAAAGCAAGGCAGAGGAUAUCACAGUCCCUGACUUAAAUUAUGCUACAAAGUACUGUGAUAAAAACAACAUGGUACUGGAAAAAACAACAAACCAGAGGAUCAUAAAAGAGAACAGAGUAAAAGAUACAGAAACCACUCCAAACACACUCAGCCACCUUAUCUUUGACAAAUGAGCCAAAUAUUUGCUAGAAGGAAGGUAGCCUCUUUAAUAAAUAGUGCUGGAAAAACUGGCUUAUCAGUGCCAAAGACUAUAACUAGACCCAUGUCUAUAAAUGCACUAAACUAAAUGUAGAAUGGGUCAAAGAUGUAAAUAUUAAAACAGAAACACUAAACCUGCUGGAAAGACAAUAUGCAGAACUCCCGAAGACAUAGGUACAGGCAAAGAUUUUAUGAACCAAAACCUGAUCACAUGAGAAAUAAUACAGUGCAUCAGCAACUGACCAGCUUUUAAUGUUUAUUGGUUAUUUUGAUAUCUUGUGAAAUUGUUCUACAUUGAUUUUCUCUUGGAGGCCUGGUCUUUCUAACUGGUUUAUAAAUGUAUGUAAUUUAUAUGUGUGCACCUUUGGCAUAUGUUUCUAUCAGGAACUUGUGUUUAGCUUUGUUUUCAAUGGCUUUUGUCUUACAGGAUAUUUAAGUUUUUGUGCACACACAAAUCAGUCUUUCCUGAUUUUGUCUUCUGAUUAAGACCUCGACAUCCCAAAGCCUUAAGAACAUGUUCUGUUUUAUCCUUCCAUCUCUUGUGUAACUUUCUUUUCAUUUGAAUGUUUAAAUGUUUGUAGUGUGGGUAGGGGUUUAGUUUUAUGUUUGCUUGCGUAGGUCUCACUGUAUCCUAACAGCAGUCAUGAACUAGAUGUUCUCUUCACCUGCCAAAAUGGAGUGGUGCGUAUUUUGCACACCAGGCGCACUUUUGAUUUCAAGGUUCCUUGGAGACACAGUCACUGUUAUGAGAAAGGGCAAAAGAAAUCUCAGGCGCAUUACACCUGUAGGGAGUUUGUGUUCCUGUUCCUGCUCUUGUGUCUUUAUUCCAUGUCUCUUCAAACACCAGUGUGAAUCUGCUUCCACUUUGAGGGAGCGGAAAUGGGUAAAAUACAUUUGUGAUCUACUUGUGAUUAUUUUCUUUCUAGAAGGGACAACAUCGGUGGUAAAUGGCAUAUUUGGCCAUUUAUAAAUUUAGAGAGGUAAGAGUCACUGUGUUCUAAAUCUUCUCUCUUGCUGUAGGCUGUUUAGAGAAAUCUUUAUGAGAACAUACAGCAUUUUAAUCUAAAACUAGUAACAUGGUCAAAGCAAAAUAAAACAAAACCCCCCAAUUUAAAAAAAAAAUACAAUUGUCUGCUUUUAAAAUCCCCAGAGUAGCUUAUCAGAAAAAAAAUGAAAUAGAAUAGUGUGUAUAAUAUCUAUGUUUUGUUUUUACAGUUCAACAGGAUAAAACAUGUAUGUAUGCAUACAUUUAAGUAUAUGCAUAAUAUGUAAUCUAUAUGCAUAUAUGUAUACACUUGUAUAUACACAUGUACAUAUACGUAUACACUUGUAUAUAAUGUACACAUGUAGAAACUCUGGACAAAAAAGACAAUUUUUACCCAGCAGGAGUGAGAGUAGGAUUAGCCAGGUGUAGAGAAGAAUUAGGAGAGUUUUUCCUGUUAACACCAUUUUCAAUGUUCUAGUUUUUAAACCAUGUGAAAAUUUCCACAUUUUUUCUGAAGAAGAAAUGGUUUCAAAUAGAGCAGGAAGUCCAUUAAGGCCAGAGUAAGAAGACACGCAUAUUACAUUUAUCAGUAAUUGGUUUAAUUACAGAGUUUGAAGAACAUCUGUUUUGGAGUAUCAGUGACAAAGACUAGUGCUUACAGUGAAUUCAAGUGUGAAUGAGAAGUGUUUUAUGUUAUUUUUAUAUUACUGAGUUAAGAAGCUACUCAAGACUUAGUGACUUGAAGCCACUAUCAUUUUACCACCUUUUGCCAAGGUAAAUUAGUGAGCCCGGCAGGUGUUUAGAUUUCAGAUGAGGCUGCAGUCAUCUGUUGAGCUGGAUCCAUGAUGCCUUGCACACAUGGCUGGCACUUGUCCUGAACAUGAUCUAGGACCUCAAUGAAUGUCUCAUGGGAUCAUCUGAGCAGGUCCUUUCUCUUUGGGUUGAUCUUCUCCAGAGGGUGUAGCAUGUAUAGCAAUAGUAGAUAAUUCACAAGAGUCUACAAAGAAAUUUAUCAUUAACAAAUGAACUUAGUUCACUGAAUGCAGUCAAUACCUAAAGUCAAUUGUAUAUUUUAUAUGCUAGCAGCACCAAAAAUACUGAGUAUGACUAUUUACAAUAGCAAUGAAAAUCAGAAAUAAAAGUUAAUAAAAUACAAGCAAAAGCUUCUCACAGAAACUACAGAAAUUCUGUGAACAGAAAUGUUCAUAGAAUGGGCAACUAAAUAUUAAUAAUUCUCCCUCAAAUCUAUAGAUUCAAUGCAAAGCUAAAAUCCCAGGAAGAGUUUUUCGUAUAUAUAAAUUGUCAGAUUCUACAAUUUAUACUGAAAUGCAUAGGGACAGAAUAAUCAUUAUAAUGAUGUUGAAAAUACAAGGUCAACCAGAUACCAAGUCUUACGUUAUGCUUGAGGUACGCAGACAAUAUGAUAAUGGUGCAAAGAUAGAUGUAAAGAACAUAAAACAAAAUAUGGGCCACAAGUAGAUACACUUGUGUAAAAUGGUCUUUUGAAUAUUGGCGGCUGUGCCAACCAGGUGUCUAUCAGGAGAGAAAAAGAACCUUAUUCCUACCUCACAGCAUACACCAAAUUAAUCUUACGUGAAUCAAAAAUCUAAAUUUGAAAAGUAAAAUUGAACUUCUAGAAAACAGAAGAGAACAUCUUCAUGAUCUCAUGAUUAUGAAGGAUUUCUUAGCUUGACCACACACAAAUAACCACAAAAGGGGCUGGGGAUUUAGCUCAGUGGCAUAAGCGCCUGCUUUAAAGCAGGCAGUCUUGAGUUCGAUCUUGGUACAGAUAAAAAGGAAAAAGAAAACAAACAAACAAAGAAAACAAAGAAACUGAGCUUCAUUAAAAUUAGUAGCUCCUGUUUCUUGGCAGACUUCUUUAGAAAACAAGCAGGUAGGCUACAUCCUGGAAGACUAAACUCAAUACAAGCAUCCAACAAAAGACUUUCCUAGCCAGGCAUUGUAGGGCAUGCCUGUGAUCUCAGCACUGGGGAGACUGAGGCAAGAGGAUUGCCAUGUGUUUGAGGCUAACCUUAGCUACAUAGUGAGUUCAAGUUCAGCCUGAACUGCAUACCAAAAGCCUGAUUCAAAAAAAAAAAGAAAAAAAAGAAAAAAAAGAUACUUAGAACUAUAAGCCAGUGAAAGAAAAUAAUAACAAGUAGUUUACAAGAGAGCUUAUUUAGAUGUUAAAUAAGCAUACAAAAUUGCACAAAACUAUUAGGAAUUGGAGAAAUGCAAACUAAAACCAUGAGAUGCAGUACCCUGAAGUAGCUAAAACUGAUACUAGUAGCUAGCGAAGUUAUAGAAAAGCUGGAACUCUCAUAUGCUGAUGUCAGGAAGAGUAAUUUGGAAUACAUAUAUCUAGAAAUACAAUUCCAUUCUUAGAUAUGUAACAAAGAGAAAUCUUGUAUAUAUUCACAAGAAUAUAUACACAAUAAUAUUUAUAAUAUCAUUCUUCAUGAAAGCCCCAAAUGGAAGAAGUCCAACUGUCCAUUAAAAGUAAUGGGGUAAGAUGGAAUCUCGGUGUUGUUUUAUUUCCAUUUCACUAAUGACCAGUUAUGUUGAAUGUUUCUUCCAGCAUCCCAUAUGUCCAUAAACAGAUGAAAAGGUUAAAAAAUGUGGUAUUUACAUACAAUGAAGUCCUACUCUGCCAUAAAAAGAUAAACUUGAGUCAUUUGUAGGAAAAUGGAUGCAUUUCGAUACCAUAAUGUUAAGUAAAAUAAAUGAGAGAUAUAAGGUUACAUUUUUUAAAAUUUUGAAAGUAGUAAAAUACAACAGAACAAGACAGAAUAAAGCCAACUGAGACUGUGUAGUGAAAUUGGUAUAGAACUUCACAGCAGGCUACCAGGAUAACAGUAAUAGGCAUCACAGUAUAUUUCGUUAUCUUUACAAUAGUUGUUCCUUCAAUCACAUACAUCAAAAUAAAAUGAAACACAGAACAUUAUAGAACUUAUCAAAACAAUAUUGAAUAAAGCAGUACCAUUAAUCAGAACAGAGCAAAACAGUAGUAAAAAUAUUUGUCUUCAAAGAGAUGGUAGAAGGAAAUUCCCCUUAUUUGCUAUGGUCAACCUCCCAAGAGAUACUCAGAUUUCUGGUUCCCAUUUGUAAAUGGGGGGACAGGGGAAAAGGGGUAGAAGAAGUGGGAUGUUUGACUCUAGGCUGUGCACUAGUAGAUUCACUAUUGCUUAGCAGGGAGGCAGGCUGGUUGCUUGGUUUUCCAGGGUCCUAAGUUCCAACAUGGCGCUGAUCUCAGGAGACAUUGGUCUAUAAGCUUAAAUAUUGCAUGCUAUUUCUUAUAUGAGAAACUCAAAUUAUAAAUAUAGAGCAAAAUAAAGGUUAGUUAUAAACAGCAGGGAAAUAGAUCUGUCCCAAAUGGGAUAGGGAUCAAGAGAUGAAAGGAAGAGGGAAAGAAAGGGAUGUAAAAAGGGAUGAAGAUGUGCUCUGCAUGUACACCAACUCCACACAAGGAUUGUAAACACACACUGCAAAACAUACCCUAAUAAGUAAAUAAGUAAACUUAUGGUGUGCUAAAAAAAAACUGUAAUGGGUAAGGCUGAGAAUAUAGCUCAGUGGUAGAGCGAUGGCCUAGAUUUAUGAGACCCUAAUUGUGAUCCCAGAAUGAUGAAAAAAUGCAAUAGGCACUUUAUCAGUAGCACUUAAUCAAUCAAUAACUAGGAAUCAAUCAUUGCUCUUUGCAGUAGUAAGGAUGAAUGCUGUAGACACAGCAUUGAGUGAAGGAAGGCAAUAAGAAAGUUUGUGAUAGUCUGCUCCCAUUAAAGCUCAAAAAUAGGUGAAUCUAAACCAUGGUUAUUGAAAACACAAUAAUGGAUGACCUUUGGUGGGGAGAUGCUUGUUAACUACGAUGGCAAAACUUCUACGAAUAUUCCAAAUCUUGAUCUGUCACAUGGACAUAGUAGUUUUAUUGUGUAGUAUUACAAAUUGCUACAAAUUUCUUCUUAGUUUUAAGUGGUAGUUGUUUCUGUAUUAUUUCACGGGCCUAUAAAUGAGAAGUUCCAGUAGGCUCAGCUGCGUUCUGCUUUGGGACUUGCAAGACUGAAAUCAACCUUGAAAGCUGUGAAGGAAAACUCACUCCUCCCAAGCUUCUGUGGGCUCUUGGUGGACUGCAGUUUCUUACCAUUGUAGGACUGAGGCCCCCUUCUUUGUUGAUGAUCAGUUCAGGGCUACUCUGAGCUUGUCAAAGCCAUCACAUUCCUUCUUGUGUGGUCCUUUCCAUCUUCAAAGAAGCAAUGUGUUAGGUGUGUUAGGUCCUUCUUACACAACACAUUCACAGAUGUGGCAGCAGGAAGUGGAUGACUUCAGAACCAAAAUGUUGCCCACCCAAAUAGGUAUGUAUAGAUAUAAAAAUUCAUUGGGUUGGAUCCUGAAGAUAUGUAUAUAUAUUUUAGCAAAUGUAUAUUAAUUAAAUAAAAAUUUAAAUAAUAAAAAUUAGGAUAUUGAUUAUUUGAGUGAAAUAGAGUUGACUAAGGAUAGGUAUUUAACGAGAGGUGAGCCAUUUUUGGAGUUGGGACUGAAAGAACCAUUAAGAACAGGUGAUUAGUAGCUGGAAGAUAAUUCUGGCAAAGGGAACAGUCUGAGGAAACUUGGGAAAAUAGACAGUGUAUCCAGGAAGGAGAAAGAAGUUCAGCUGGAAAAAAGUGGAGUGUGUAAGAGACAAACAAAACAAAACAACCAUAAAGGAUAGAGUGACAGAGAUGGAGCAGACAGCCAUCUUCAUAGCAGCCACAGACUAGAGUUGAAGGAUAGAGACCAGAAAUAUUUUUAAAAAAUGGUAUAGGAGCUCAGGCAAAAGGAAAAAAUAUUGGGUUACGAGGAAUGAAGGAGUAGUGAUAGCUGUAAGAAGGACUGCAGAAACUGAAAUGACAGUGAUGCCAUAAAAUGAAAGGUAGUGUUCUGGUUUGUCUCCGAAUCUGUUCUCUACUUGUGUGAUCACUGGACCCUUCAGUUAUAAUUGGAUCUAAGAAUAAAGAUAUUUUCCAGACUCCUUUCCAAGGAGGCAUGACUUCAGGACAGUCCUGGGCAAUGGAAUGGGAGUGAAAUGACAUGUAAUCUGGCUCUUUUUGGCAUGAGGAUGUGAUGGUUUCUGCCACCAUUUUGGAAACUGUAGCUCUUGGAACUUUCCUGGAGUAGUAGAGCCAUAGGAUAAGGGACCACGGGUCUCUAACUCCAGCAGUCACAGUGCUGAAAACAAAAGUAUAAGUACUAGUACUUUUCACAUGGGCCACAAUUAAAGGGGACUCAUUGCAUUGUAAAGUACACACACUGCACAACCACAAUACUCCAGUGCAGGAAGGAUAGUGUAUCGGUCAGCUUCCCAUUGUAGGAAGAAAGCACCCACAUAAAAAUUUGGAAGAAGAAAGGUUUAUUUUGGCUCAUGAUUUCAAAGGUUUUUAUUUGUGUUUGGCUGGAUGUUUCCAAGGUAGGAACAACAUCUGUUGCAAGGCAUGGAGGAAGAAAACUGUUCAAUUCAUGGCAUUCAGGAAGAAGAGAGCAGGAUAAGACCCUGAGAGAGGAGGGGGUCAGGAGCAAGAUAUUUCCUUCAAAGGAACACCCCCUAGUGACUUUACUUCCUCCACCUGGGUCCCACCUUUAACAGCACGUUCAGCUAUGAAUUCACCGAUAGGUACAUAUAUUGAAGUUGGUGUUUUCACGAUCCAAUCACUUGUAAACUCAGCCUUUGCAUGUUUCUACAUUGGGGAAUAAAGCCCUCAAUACACAAGUCUUUGUGGGGGACACUUCAUAUUUAAACCAUACCAGACAGCUUGAAGGAGUAAGUCUUGGGAAGCUUAAUAUACCAUUGUAUGUUUAAACUUCUAUCAGUUUGGAUCCCUUGUGGGCCUUCUGAACCUGUUACUGUUCAAGUAAUGAUGAGGUUCUAAAUCAGAAAUUAUGAUUUGAUGUUUUAGUGUCUUACAGCAAAGAAAUGGAAGUCAGAAGAAAUAGUAAAAGGUGAAGCAAAUUUAAGAUUUCCUGAGUGAACGUUACAUGUGAAACUCUAUCCUGUGCUGUGAGAAAUACAAAGGAAAGCAAUUUCAGCCUUCCAGGAGCCUGAUAUCUGGAGGAAAAAUACUUUUAAAUCAAUAUGAGAGUUUAGUGACUACAACCUUCCAGAAAUUUAUAAUCUAGUGAAAAAUGUGUGACUGUAUUUUAUUUACUUUUUGAUGCUUGGGGGGAAAAUCAGGGCCUUGUGCAUGCUAAGCUGGUGCUUUAUGUCUGAGCUAAGACUCAGCCUUAUACCAGGCAUUUUAGCACACAGGAUUGGAGUGAAGCUCUGGAGGCAAUAAUCUAGUAAGAAAAAGACAUUUAUACCGAUAACAUUAAUACACAACAGAAAAGAGGGUGCCAGAGGUGCUCCUAAUAUUAAGUGGAGUAUAACUAGCUAACCCCCGGUUUCCAAAUCUCAACAUUUGUUGGUUUUCCCUUAAGAUAUUCUUAAGUUAUGAGAUACAGUACUAAUUUCCCUGUUACAGAGCUCUAAGACAUCUGGUUUCUACAGCACAUUAACAGUCUGCCUAGUAUGUUUUAAAGAGUUGUUGCUUUUUCUCUAAAAAGGAAAAAGGAAAAUCAAUAUAUUUUUAUUUGCACAAGAAAAUGAAAAUAUACUUGGCCUCAGAGGAACAAAAACAUUUAAUUUAUUUUACAAUGAUUUCUAAAUAUUCCUCUGGAGAAGCUUGUACUUAUGGGUAGUAUCUGAAUAUGACCUUUAAAUUACAUUGUUUUGGUAGCUUUGUUCUAAACAGCCUCUGAUAAUAAUAACAUCCUAUAAAAGCAAAUGAGUUUGGAAAAAUAAUGUGUGUAGGAGUACCAUUUAUGUGUGAGGACUAAUCACAAAUCUUGCAAAUCUUUUCUCAAUAUUAAGACCAUUUAUACUUGCAGCAGAAAUUUACUAUUAAAACUGACAAUGAAUACUUAUUGAGGACUUAUUGUGAGAGGUAUUCUGCCAGGCACUGUGAAAGUGUGGCUUAUAAGACAAAUUCUAUAGUAGAUCAUUGCCCAAAAGGAGAUACAGAAACAAAUACAUAAGUAACCAAAAAAUGUUAUGUAGAGCCCGAAAGGGCUUUGGAUAUAUAAGGGAGGACAGGAUUGAUUUUCACUGGGUGAAGCUUGAUGGCUUCAUUGAAGGGGCAGAUCUUAAAGGAUUGGGAACUUUUUGAGAUGCCGGUGAGAAAUACAUUUAGAAGUUUUGCAGGUGCAGGUUUGGAAAGAGUAGUGCAAGCCAACUAAGGCAAAAACAAAUAUCAUAGAAGGUUCAAAACAAAGGCUGCGUUGUGAGCUAUGGGAUGAGAAAUGUCUUAGUCAGAUUUCUGUCACUGUGAGUAAAUACCUGAGCAAUAAACUUAAAAUGAGGAAUGAUUCACCUCAGCUCAUGAUUUUAGAGAGAGAGAAGAGGGUAGUGUCUCUAUGUUUGCUUAAAGGGCACACCCACAGGAUCUCACUUCCUCUGUCUAGGCCCCAAACAUUAUAGGCUCUGUCAUCGCCCAACAAUGCCACAUGGCCCUUGGGGGACAUUUACAAUCCAAACCACAACAAAAGGCAAAGCUAAACAAAUGCCUUGUGUGGAUUGUUGUUUCUCAAGAGGUUGGUCUUUGCUCCAUAUGCAGACAAAGGUCAUCUUUAAACAUGGUGGUGACCAUUCCAGCGGUGCUUUAGUUAGUGUGGGAGAGAUGGGAGGCAUCAAAGACUACUGGUUGGAGACCAAUGAGGAGGCUGCUUGCCACAUUAUCCUUGGCACAAAGUCAUGGUGGUGUAAGUGGAAGGAAGAGAAUGACAGUAUAAAGGCACCUGAGACUUAACAUGUCACUGAGAAAGCAGCUUAAGAGUUUGCUGACGGGGAGAAAUGGAAAGAGGAAAUGCAUACCCUAAAAUAAUCCUCAUAAUCCUUUACCAUAUAGCAUUAUCAUUGAGUAAAAAAAUGAAAAAAGAGAAGACAUUGUCUGUUUCCCACAAAGACACACAUUAAAAAAAUCACCCAUAUCAGCAUGUGGCAAAUGCAUUCUGUUCCUCUGACCCUGUGGUCAUUGUUGACUUAUUGUCUUCCUUCACAUCCCAGAAUCUAUUUGUUGGCUUGGCUUCCAAAAUAUAUCCAGAAUGCAAAUGUAUUUUAUCGCUAAUCCAGUCUAAUACAUUUUGUUAUAGCAGCAGGAGUUGCCUGAACAAGACAUGCAUGUACUUUUGUAUGGCUGAUCCCCAGGGAAUCUUGAAAACUGAGGACAGAACUAUGGGUACAACCCUGAUUCUGAGAUAGAGAUACAACAGAAGUGUAUGAUGACCGUUCCCCAAGGGGACAUCAUGAUGGAAUGGGGGACUAUUGAGAGGAGAGGACCAGACAAUAUGUAUACAUUGCCCUUCUAAAGCUUUUAGUGCUUGUACAAUUUGAUAGUAGUUUUUCUAUAAAGUUAUAGACUAUCAUGAAUUAAAUUUAAGAAUAAAUAAUACUUUUGCUGUGAUCAUACAUCAACUUUGAUUAAAUUGAUGGGAUUGAUAAAUUAAUGACAAAUACAGACAGAUUUGCACAUCUAUUUUAUUAGUAGUAGACAAAAUUCAUGGCAUGAUUUGUGAUUCUGAAGAGUUUUAAAAUUAUUUUUUUGUAUAGAAAGUCAAAUUUCUAGGUGGAUAUGGUGGUGCUCACCUGUAAUCCCAGCACUGUGGGAGAUCCAGGCAGGAGGAUUGCAAGUUUGAACCCAGUUUGAGCUAGUUAGUAACUUUAGCAAGAUCCUGUCUCAAAAUAGAAAAAUAACAAGAGGGCUGGUGAUGUGCAAAAGCCUUCAGUUUGAUCUCCAGUGCUAAAAAUAAGAAGUUGUAUUUCUCAGCCCUUAUUCAGUUUCAAUAGACUUCAAUCAUCUGUCUUCUCCAUAAGAUGCCCACUCUGUUGUAGAGCAAACACUCUUAACAUACCAUUGCAAGAUUCUUAAAUAGCCAUCCUGUGGCACAGGAUAGCCAACUCUCAUCUCCCCUACCCCCAGUUGCUGGUGGCUGCCAGACACAUGCUGAGUCAGCAUCAGCCAUGAAGAGUGUCCUGGUCAUUGGUGACUCCUAAAGGGCACCAGAGAACCGGAGCUGGCUGGUGUUCCCUAAGCAUUGCUGUGCCUGCUGAGACACAUCAUGAUGCCUCUUUGCCUUUUCCCUGAAACUUUUGAUCUUCAGGAACUUUCUGAACCAGUGUUUUGGUACUUGCACUGACUUUUAAAAUCAGUGAACCAUGAGAGACAUAAAAAAUACAUUUUGGCAUAUGAAUGCAUCCCACACUUUUAGCUGUCAGAUUUCCUUUUCCUUGGCUUGUUCUGUGACAAGAGAACUUACCUGUGUCCAACGAACUCCCCCAGUCAGUAACACUUCUGCUUAAAUGAUAUUGCAUAUGGUGUUUUCUUGUUUUUUAAUUUUCUUUUUCUGUUAGUACAUGUUUGCAGUACAUAAUGCUUACAUUCAUCUUGGGAAGUUGGUACAUGUACAUCACAUUUCAUUUCUUAUUUUCCCUUUCUGUCUUCCCUCUUUUUUUCAUCUCUUGGCUCUUUCUAGGUAGAGUAUGUUCAAGCACUUCCUGAUAUUGAUGAUAAUUUCAAGCUAAAAUUAUGAUUUUUUUCUUAGGUAAAAAAAUAAAAUCUAGAUAUAAAAGAAAGAGAUGACAGAUUGGAGAAUUGGAAACUAUCAAAUGGGAUUAUCUGCACAGAAACUGUGAACUUCUAAUUUGGAUUUUUUUCCUGAUUGGGCUCCAUCUCAUUUAUUUCUAAUUCCUUCCCAGUGCUAAUUAGAAAUCUUCAAACAAAAGGUUUAAGAUUACUAGGAUAAAGUGAGAUACUUAACAAUACAUCCAGAAAUCUAAAUAGUCAAACAAUUCAGCUGACCUUCAGGCAGUGUGAGGGAUGCAGGGUCCCCCUGAUGGCAAUGCUGUCUUCAUCCAUAUGGCUUCCAAAGUCACACUGCUGUCUGCCUCAGGCUAGCCCAUAGAGUUGCAUGUAGGCAGUUUCUAUGGCCAAAUUUGGGAAUGCAAUUCAUAAAGGUCUCAUUGCAAAAACAAUCACAUCAACCAAAACAAUUCUCAAGGAUGCUGGUGCCCUGGAAGAGGAAGAAACAAGUUACUGAAGAAUUUUUAUUUCUUAAAAUCAAUGACAUGCCACAAGCUUUUUUUCAUUGAAGAUGCUGGCUUAGAGCCUGUGGACUGGCACCUCUGUACAAGUGAUUAUUUCUUUUCAAAUUUUAAAUGAGACAUUAAAAAAAUCCAAAUUUGAAGAAGAAAAUUCCACUCUAUUUAAUACAUUCAUAAUCACAUCAUUUUUUUUACUUUAAGUUAUCUUGUGGCCUUCAGACUUAUGCAUAGUAAUUAAAAUUAUUAUUUAAGGCAGCUAUAUCAUAUUAUGUGGCACUAAUAGUAUUUACACGAUUUCUUGUUUCAGAUAUUAAUUUGAUUCCAUGUAUUUGUGUUCCACUACUACAAAUAAGGCUACAGAAAGCAACUUCUAAAAUAGUUUUUACUUCCAUCAAAUUGUUUUCUGAUAGCUAUAUACAUUUCCAAUAUUGCAUAAAGAUUCUGAAGAAAAUAUAAAUUGGAAUAAAAUACAAACAUUUUCAAUAGUUUUUCAUCGAUUGAAUUAUUUCUUAGAAUUAAUAUUGAUCAGUUAUGCUACUGGAUUCAAUAGUGUGACUGUUUUAACAAUUUCUGAUGCACUUUUACAUCAUGUUGCUUUUUUCAGAGGCUUAUACAAUUUCUUGUGCUGUUAAACUUACUCUUUUAAGCCAGCUUCACUUGCAUUUAUAGUACAUUUUUCUUAAUUUAAUAGAUGCACAGUGGUACUUCAGAUUGUCUUAAUGUUGAUUACUAAAUUGAACAUUUUUCAUUAUUUGGAUCAAUGGACUUUUUGAAGUUUUCUUUAUAAAGUCAAAAGGGCUCUUUAUCUGAUGUAUUUAUCUUUUUCUAUUGGUUCAAUUUCUCUCCCUCUGUAUCAUUUGUAAUAAUUAUAGUUUCCACCUACCCCCUCCUCUGGUGGGCACAGGUGCUUUGGUAUAGACAAGCUGUUUAUAUUUUUCUUUGUGAUGUUUCUGUCUGCAAUUUGAAACCAUAGAUGUACAUAAACAAUAGGAUCUAUGGUUCUUUUAUUUUAAUCCAUGGAGAAAUAUUUUCAUAUCAAUUAUGCACAGCAGGUAAUUGAAACAUGUUACAAAGAUGGAAGGAAGAUGAAAGGAGGAAACAGCCAGUUCAGUUUCUGCACUCGAUUGUCUUAUGCAGCUAAUUUCAGUCUCUCAAAUAACAGGGGAGCACGUGUGCUUGUGUGCCUGAGGAGGGAAGGUAAAGACGGACAAAAUGAGAGAUCGUGCAGGAUUAGGACAGAGCUAGUGAGCUGGUAAAUUGCUUGGGAUUUGUGCGGUGAGGAUCUUAUUGGCUUUGAUUAAUGAUUCAUGAAUCAGGCAAUAUUCCAUCUGUGAAACAGAGAAGGUGCUCUCCUGGCUGAGCACAGGAGGUGAGUUUAUGGCCGAGAAAAAGACCGAAGAUGGAGAAACAGUUACUUCCCUUAUGGGGCUAGAGCAGAGGGGAUUUAUGAAGCCAGCUUGGGUGAACUGGCCUCUUCUAAUUGAAUACUGCGAGUCUCCUGGUUUUGUUUUUGUUUUUUGUUUUUGGAAACCAGGUCAUUUUAAGUUCAAUUUCUUUAUGUGAUAUGUGGCACAGCAGACUACCUUCCUGUCUGGUCUGGUCUGCUGAUGCCUAGGGUAAGAGCUCAGAGUUCAGUCUGAAACCAUUCCAGAGAUUUAAUUUAAGGAUGCAAUGAUGAGUUCCCAUUUCUGUACUGAUGUCAUAGAAUCCAAGCAACAUGUGACACACUAGACUUGAUAGAGCACAACUUUGUAUUUGCUUGCUAAUAUUUAAUGUAAACAAGCUUGUGAAAUGAGUGCUUAUUGACAAUGAACUAAACUCAGGUUCUUAUAUUUUCCCUUGUAUUAAUUGAGCAAAUGACCUAGAGAGGUAUUAAAAUUAAGGACAUGUGAAAAUGCUGUCAGAAGGAUCUUAGUGUGGCAUCUAAUAAAAUUACCUUGUUUUCCAGGAAGACAUAAGAUGAAUGACUUUUUGAAUAAACACGGCAGUAAUUGCACAUAGAAUUCAUAUUUCCUCAUGGUGAAAGACAAAAAAAGAAUUUCUUCAAGUGUAAAGAAAUUUACAGCUCAGUUAUGAGAACACAUUGAAAAGUAGAAAUAUAACUGACUGGGGCUUAUUUGAAUUUAUAAUGAAGGGAAUUCAAAAGUAAAGACAGGUGGUCUUGCUAUGCCUGAUCGUUCCUAAGAAUCUUCAGAUUUCUUGAUCAUAUAAAACUUGCGUGUAGCAGUUACUGACGGUGUGUGGAAUGUGGACUGAAUCCAGAAUCUAGUGCAGUCCAGUUUGUCUAGAGCAUAUAGAGAGAUUCAGCACAAACUUUUGUCUGUUUAUUAUAGUGCAGGGUCUGGUCAUGGCCCCUGCUAGAGCUUUUGUGGGAAGCAGCAAAGAGAAAAUGAUUCACCAGAGUAGCUUCUGACUUGGUUCCAUUCCUCUCUGUGGGGGAUCACUUUACAUUUCCUUAAUUGCAGGGACAGCUUGUAUGGUUGGCAGUUGUUGGAACUGAGAAAUGGAUUUUAAUGAACUCCAUUUUCUUUUGCUCAGCUGGAAUUUAAGUAGUUGUAGAUGAAAUUAACAGCCACAGUCAAAGCAUGGAUGACAGCCAUGUCACACAGGAGAGGAAAGGGUCUGAUGUGCUGGGAUUACAGGGAUGCACCGCCACACUGGCUCUCCUUCAUUCUUUUGGAACUCUGCCCUAGGCCAUGUAAUUAAGUCAGUCUAGUGCAACACAGGAUGAGAGGCUGCAUGGAAGAGAACAAAAACACUGAAGCACGUCAGCAGAAAGGUGCGUGAGGCUGUCUUCGAUCUUGUAUCUUGGACAAUCCUCCAGUUAAAAGUAGCUAUGUAACUGAUGCUGAGCAUAUUCAACAGGGGACCCCCUAGGGCAGUCCACAUAAAUGAAAACCAUCAUUUCUCCUUGAAGACAUUAAUUCUGAGUGUAGUUUGUUACUCAGGACCAGAUAAUUGAGACAGUGAAAUUUGUUCCUUGUGAACGAUGAGCACAGUCUAGUGGGCCUGAGAGACCAUCUGUGAGGAAUAAUGCAAAGGAAACUUAAAUACAGAACAGGAGUAUGACCAAGUAUUCUUAGAGAGCUCUUAUGACCACAUGAUGAUGUAAUGAUCAUUUACAUGUGUCUGCCAUUAAACUCUGAAUGUGUAGAAGAUUUUCCUUUGGGUACUUUCAAGUAAAUGAGGGAACAAGAUUUGCAAGAAUGGAAAUUAACAAGGCAGGAGUGAAUUAGUAUUGAAAUGAUGUAAAAAUUAUUAUAUAUGAAACAGAGUGAGGAGAGAGGUUGAUCUGGAAAAUUGUUUAAUUCAGUUUUGGUUCAGUACUGGGCUUCCCACUACGCAAGCCAGGAUGGUUAACUGUCAGCCUCUACAUGAAAAUUUCAAAUCAAGACCCUGCCCAUGAUGACACCAUGGGCCAUCUGUACUUGUUAGAGAAGUCUUCUGCCUCCUCUAUUUUAUAAGCUGAGAACUUAGCUCACACCUCCUAUAAACCAAAUCAUAUUUUGUAUGCUUUCUACACUUAAUUUUCUAGGACUGCAAUCUAAUGUCAAGGGACAUUAAAAUUUGUGGGGAAUUUUGCUCACCAUUUUAGGAAAUUGCAUCACUGAUAACAACACCAAUGGCAUAUAUUUGAACCAGGCUGUGACAUUUUUCUGGCUGUCACAUUCAUCUUGAGCCUACUGAGAGGGACAAUCGUCUGACCACAUUGUCUCUUCUAAUAUAGUCAUGCCCAUGUAUUUCCAUAUGAAAUAUAUGUUGUUUAAACUAUUCUCUUUGUAUUUCUCUCGAUCUUUUGACUGAAUGUAGGGAGCCUAGGGAAGAGGUUUUAGAUAGGAUUAUGGGUCCAAUAUUAGCCUUCCCAUUGCUGGAACCCAAUGGAUGACACCUGGUACUUAAGGGAGGAGAGAUCUGAUUUAAGUCACAUUGUGCAGGGAUUUAGCCAAUGGUUGCUGGCUCUGCGGCAGGAACAUCAUGGCAGAAGGGCAGGGUGGGGGCAAAGUUGCUAGUUUAUGGCUUCUGAGAAGCAGAGUAUGGGAGCAGCACCAGCCAGGAAGGGGAAAAUGACCAGAUACAGUACCCAAGGUCAUACCUCGAUGACCACCCAGACACACACCAAAGUGUAUUCCACCAAUCACCUGAGUGGCUCACAGUUAAUCAAGCUGACACAGUCAGGUGUAACCAUCGCAGGUUCCUAAACUGAAAUCCUCAGAAAAUUAGAAGAUAGCAUCCAGUUAAUUCUGUUUCUUUGAAGACUCCAAAUACAAUUAUCAUUUAAAGUGAUAAUUGCCUUUCAGGGACCUCCUCAAGAAUUAAACAUCUAGGUUUAUGAAUAAUAAACUGAUCAAACCAUAUAUCAGGCUUCUGCAAGAUAUCCUGUGCUUCCAUCUCUAACCUCAGUUAGCUUUUGAUUCACCUUUCUAACUUAUCUUCUAAUGUACUACAAUCUAUAUGUGAUAAUCUGUGUCUAGAUGAUCCCCUAAAGCCUCACGCAGUCACAGGAUUUUUCAGAGGUGGCUGAAUCUAGAGUGUGUGAUGCUGGGAUUCAGGGUAUGUGAUUAGUAAAUCAGUCCACCGAUUGGUUUGAUACAGUUCUGGUUAGGUUUAAGGGUGUGAGUACUACACCCACCUAGGGCAGAUAGCGUGCAUACAGUAUAAGAGACAGAAAAGAGUCUUGUCUCCUUGUUUGCUUUUUGUGUUUUCUGCUGCCAUGAACUGUUGUUUCUCUGCCGUGCUCACCCUGCCUUGGAGCCAGCCAAUUAUGGAAUGAAACUUCUAUAAACUGUGAGCUAAAUAAACCUUUCCUACUUGAAUUUUGUGUAUCAGGUGUUUUGUUUCAGCAAUGAGAGAAACUGUUAAGACACUUAGUAUUUACAUUUUAUACACCAUGCUCAUUUUUCCUAUUAUGUCAAAGAAGUGACAUAAAAUGAAUGAUGUUUUGACAAAGAUGGGCAGUUGUCAGUAUAUUUCACUUCAGUCCUCAUGGCAGGGAAAUUCUAGAUUAGGGUCUGGUAAUAUCUCAUAGGUCAAAUUGAGCCUGUUGUUUCAUUUUGUAUGGCCCUAAGUUAAGAACCUUUAUACAUUUGUAAGAGGUUUUUUGUUUAAAAAACACAAGAAUACAUAACAGAGCUAUUAUGUGGCUUGCAAAAUUUAAAGUAUUUGUAAAAUUACCUUUCUCCCAUAAUUAUAUUGUACAAUUUUUUAUUAGUAUACUUUUUGGUACGUUCAUCAUGAGGAGUUGGUUAAUUACAUAACACAUCUUAAUUCUUUGUAUGUUCACUUCCUCUCUCUUUCCUCUUGGCUGCAUUUCCCCCAACCCUCCUUCUUCCUUCCCUUUAUCUCUUUUUCCUAUUAUUUGUCUUUUAUUUUGCUCUAUAUUUAUAUUUUGAGUUUUUCAUAUGAAAUAAACCAUUUGAUAUGUAAGCCUGUGUGCUUUAUUUAUUUUGCUUAUGGUCUUAAAAUGCAUCCAUUUUUUCUACAAAUGAGUCAAAGUUAUCCUUCUUUAUUGAAGAGUAGUUAUUCUCUGUGUAUAAAUGCCACUUUUUUAAUCCAUUUGCCUGUUGAUGGACAUGUAGGCCACUUGCCUGAUUUGGCUAUUUUGAAUUAUGCUGCUAUCGACAAGUAUACGUGGAGCACUGUAAUAUGAUGUUUUUAAUUCUUUUGGGAAGAUACCUUGGAAGGGAAUAGUUGGGUCUAGUGGAAUUUUUUUAUUUUCAUCUUUUAUGUGGAGAAUGAUAUCAUCUGCAAAUAAUGAUAACUUGACUUCUUUUUUCUGUACAUAUCAUUUCAUUUUUUCUCUCACUUUAUUGCUCUUGCUAAUGUUUAAAAAACUAUUGAAUAGUGGUGGUGAUAUCAGACAUCUGUGUCUUAAUUCUGAUUUUAGAGGGAAAUCUUUCAGCUUCUUAUUUAAUAUGCAUUGGGUGUUGGUUGGUCAUCAAUGGCUUUUAUUAGAUUAAGAAGUUUCUUCUGUAUCUAUUUGCUUCAAAGAUUUUGUUUCUCAUGAAUGGAUUUUGGAUUUUGUCAAAGGCUUUUUUCCUGUAUCUGUUCAGAUGAUCAUGUGAUUUUUGUAUGUGCUUUUAUUUAUGUGAUGUAUUAUGCUUAUGGGUUCACAUAUGUUGAACUAGCUCUGCAUCCCUGGAUGAAUCUUGCUUUAUCAUGAUGGAUGAUCAUUUUGAUGAUUUGUUGCAUUAUAUGUUGCAGUAUCUGUUUGAGUAUUUUUUUCAUCAGUGUUCAUUGAAAAGACUAGCCUAUAAUUCUCUUUUUGGUUGGGUCUGUUUCUGGUUUUGAAAUCAGGGUAAUGGUAGCUUCCAGGGAAGACUUUGGGAGUACUGCUUCUCUUUUGAUUUCAUUAAAGAGUUUGAGGAAUAUUGCUGUUAGACCUUCCCCGAAGUUCUUGUAGAAUUUGUCAGCGAAUCCAUCAGGAUUUAUCAGAAUGUGAACUUUUCUUAGUUUGUAGUAUAUAUAUAUAUAUAUAUAUAUAUAUAUAUAUAUAUAUUAUAUAUUUUAUCGGUACCAGGGAUCAAACUCACGACCACCUGGUUGCAAGACAGGUGCUUAUGGCGCUGAGCUAAAUCCCCAGCCCCUUGCAGUUUAUAUUUUAAUUUACCUCUUUAAUCUCUAUGCCUAAAAUUCAGGGUUUUUAUGUCUUCUUGGAUUUAGCUUUGGUAGUUUAUAUGUAUCUAGGAAAACAACAUAUUUCCUACCCGGUCCUUUACAGAAAAUGUCUACUGACCCCAAUCCAGAACAGAUACAACUUUUCUCAUGAGCCCACUUGCCUAGAGUCAGGUCCAUAGGGCAUUGCAGAGAACAGAAUCUAUGUGCACAGCUUCUAGGGCACAACCUUAAGGGACAGAGUGCCUGUUCCUUUCAGUCACCUUCCAUUUUCAUGCCAUAUGGAACACAACUAUGGAAUAACUGAGUAACAGGAUAGAAAUUGAAAGGGUUUGAAUCUUUGGGUGAUCCUGUUGAGCUGUCAGCAUCCCAAACACAAACCAUUUAAUUACAGAUACUUAUAAGAACUAAUUGUCUACUUCACUUAAAGCUCUGUUAUACACAGCAAAAUCAACGAUGCCCUACAUUAGAUGUACCAUUCAUUUGGAUAUUACUAGUAGAAAAUAUGUUUUCAAACUAAACUAUUCUCAAAAAUUUUCUUAUUGUCUAAAGCUUUCUUUAAAAAAGACUUAAAAUUCUCUUAGCUUUAAUUUUUCUGAGAUUUAAAAAAUGAGAUAUUAUUCUUUUUCAUAAAUAAGAAUGUACAAAGAAAUCUCAAAAAACAAAUUGGUUACAGAUUACUAAAAUUUCCCCAGCCUGCAGUUUAAGUUCUCCAAAAGACUUUUAUCACAAAAACCUCAAAGCUGGGUACAGCAUUUCCUAAACAAAUGUCCUAUCCUUGACUCUGGGACAGUGUUCCAUGCUGGCACCUGGUCUGCAGUUUUUAUCCUUAGUCACUGACAAUGACUGUGUCACAGAUUACCUGACUGAGAGCUAUUGCAAACUGCCACCCAAUUGCAGAAACUAAAAUGUGACAAAAUGUGUUUCAGAAAAACACAAUCCUGAUGCACAAGAACCAGGCACCAAAAGUGAAAGGGCCCAUGAGACAUACAAAGCAGGCAGAACCAGGAUUGCACCAAGUACAAUUUCCUGGAGCCUUGUGGAUAGAAGUGAGUUUCAGGCAGCAGACAGAUAGGAAGAUCACACAGCCCAGGGCAGGGAUAAGGGGUUUGUAUCCUGGGCUAAACAAAGGUGGGUCACAGUUACCCAGAAUGGAACUAGCCUUUCUCAAAGUAUUAUUAACAUGUCAGAUGUUGAUUACUAAACAUCCCAUUUAUAAGGGCUGGCACAAAUGCUUUCUAUCUUAACAACUUCUUUUGUCCUGUUGGGUUUGAGAUAUGUGCCGAGAGUGCCCAGUGGCCAAGAUGGAAGCUACAACCAAGAUGGCUGUAGGUAUGUCAAGUUGAAAACUUACAGAAGGUAUCUUAAGUCCAUAAAAUAAUUAUUUGCAGAACACUUGGAAAUUACUGAGAAGCAGAAAGUGAUGUGCUGUCUCAAGGACUCUGUACUUUGGUAUACUUUUCAGUCUUAAAACAUUUUUAUUUACAUACUUGCACUAAACCUAUAAUUGUGUAUCCCCCUCUUUCACUAAGCAUGAGCGUUAUUUCAUGUAACUCUUUGUUCUAAUGAAUAUUUACUAGAUAUGUAACAUUCAGUUUUGCAGAUAUCCAACAGUUUACUUUAUUAUCUCAUGGAUGGCUUCCCUAAAAUUCACAAGCCGCCAGUGAACUUCGAUACUUUCAUAUGAAAGAGUAAGCAGACAGAAAGGACAAUGGAGUCAAAUGGAAUUUUAGAAACAUUUUCCCCUUUAAAAAGAUCUUGCAUUCUUAAUAAUAGUUGAGAAAUUUUGUCUAAACUGUUUUCAGAUUUUAAACAGAGAAGACUCCUUCUAAGCCUUAUUAAAUAAUAUGACCUCAUGCUGUGAUGCUGCCAAAGAAUACACAAACCUCCCAUUGCAGAGGAAGAAUGCAUUUUGCUCUGAAAGCCAUUUUACCCAAAUCUCUCCUUAGCAUCUUAGGAGAGGACCUUAAAUGCUGGCAGUUUAGACUUUAAGUAAGACCCAGGGAGUGAAAAAGCAUUAAAACUGGAAAGAAAUAAAGGAUGAGAUUCGGUAGCAUGUUAAUAGCUUUCUGAAGGUGGAAAAAUAACAGGCAAAGAUGAAAUAGGAAGAAAAGAAGGAAGAA